GCGGGUUUUCGGACCUGGCGGCGAGUGGCGAACGGGUGAGUAAUAUAUCGGAACGUGCCUAGUAGCGGGGGAUAACUACGCGAAAGCGUGGCUAAUACCGCAUACGCCCUACGGGGGAAAGGGGGGGAUCGCAAGACCUCUCACUAUUAGAGCGGCCGAUAUCAGAUUAGCUAGUUGGUGAGGUAAAGGCUCACCAAGGCCGCGAUCUGUAGCUGGUUUGAGAGGACGACCAGCCACACUGGGACUGAGACACGGCCCAGACUCCUACGGGAGGCAGCAGUGGGGAAUUUUGGACAAUGGGGGAAACCCUGAUCCAGCCAUCCCGCGUGUGCGAUGAAGGCCUUCGGGUUGUAAAGCACUUUUGGCAGGGAAGAAACGGCGCUGACUAAUAUUCAGCGUCACUGACGGUACCUGCAGAAUAAGCACCGGCUAACUACGUGCCAGCAGCCGCGGUAAUACGUAGGGUGCAAGCGUUAAUCGGAAUUACUGGGCGUAAAGCGUGCGCAGGCGGUUUGGCAAGAAAGAUGUGAAAUCCCACAGCUUAACUUUGGAACUGCAUUUUUAACUGCCAAGCUAGAGUAUGUCAGAGGGGGGUAGAAUUCCACG
rnacentral:rRNA from 1 species